GCGGGAGUAGCUCAGUUGGUAGAGCAUCACGUUGCCAACGUGAAAGUCGCGGGUUCGAGCCCCGUCUCCCGCU
rnacentral:tRNA from 1 species